AUGUAUGCCUUGAAUUAUGUAAUGUGGUGUUAUGAUUACGAUAGUUGAAAUUCCAUCUUUGAUCUUUCCAACAAGACUCUGUAUUGUGUAUACAUUAAAACAAAUUAUCCUAGAGAAUCUUGAGGUUACAUGAAGUAAGUGACUCCGAAAGUAGGAACAAUUCAAGCCUGUCCAUAAGUAGAUACUACGUACCACUUAUUACUGAUUCACCUAA